AUUGAACGCUGGCGGCAUGCUUUACACAUGCAAGUCGAACGGUAACAGGCCGCAAGGUGCUGACGAGUGGCGAACGGGUGAGUAAUGCAUCGGAACGUGCCCAGUCGUGGGGGAUAACGCAGCGAAAGCUGUGCUAAUACCGCAUACGAUCUAUGGAUGAAAGCGGGGGACCGUAAGGCCUCGCGCGAUUGGAGCGGCCGAUGUCAGAUUAGGUAGUUGGUGGGGUAAAGGCCUACUAAGCCGACGAUCUGUAGCUGGUCUGAGAGGACGACCAGCCAAACUGGGACUGAGACACGGCCCAGACUCCUACGGGAGGCAGCAGUGGGGAAUUUUGGACAAUGGGCGCAAGCCUGAUCCAGCAAUGCCGCGUGCAGGAAGAAGGCCUUCGGGUUGUAAACUGCUUUUGUACGGAACGAAACGGCCUGGGUUAAUACCCUGGGCUAAUGACGGUACCGUAAGAAUAAGCACCGGCUAACUACGUGCCAGCCGCCGCCGUAACAC
rnacentral:rRNA from 1 species